AAGUCGUAACAAGGUCUCCGUAGGUGAACCUGCGGAGGGAUCAUUACACAAUAACCAGGCGGGCUGGACACCCCCCGCUGGGCACUGCUUCACGGCGUGCGCGGCGGGGCCGGCCCUGCUGAAUUAUUCACCCGUGUCUUUUGCGUACUUCUUGUUUCCUGGGUGGGCUCGCCCGCCCUCAGGACCAACCACAAACCUUUUGCAAUAGCAAUCAGCGUCAGUAACAACGUAAUUAAUUACAACUUUCAACAACGGAUCUCUUGGUUCUGGCAUCGAUGAAGAACGCAGCGAAAUGCGAUACGUAGUGUGAAUUGCAGAAUUCAGUGAAUCAUCGAAUCUUUGAACGCACAUUGCGCCCUUUGGUAUUCCAAAGGGCAUGCCUGUUCGAGCGUCAUUUGUACCCUCAAGCUUUGCUUAGUGUUGGGCGUCUUUUGUCUCCAGUUCGCUGGAGACUCGCCUUAAAGUCAUUGGCAGCCGGCCUACUGGUUUCGGAGCGCAGCACAAGUCGCGCUCUUUGCCAGCCAAGGUCAGCGUCCAGCAAGCCUUUUUUUCAACCUUUGACCUCGGAUCAGGUAGGGAUACCCGCUGAACUUA
rnacentral:rRNA from 1 species